rnacentral:rRNA from 1 species
UAGGAAUCUGCCUAAUAUUGGGGGAUACCUCGGGGAAACUCGAAUUCCACCGCAUACGACCUACGGGUGAAAGGGGGCGCACGCUCUUGCUAUUACAUGAGCCUACCUCAAAUUAGCUAGUUGGUGGGGUAAAGGCCCACCCAUGCGACGAUCUAUAACUGGUCUGAGAGGAUGAUCAGUCCCCCCCCGAACUGACACACGGUCCGGACUCAUACGGGAGGCAGCAGUGGGGAAUAUUGGACAAUGGGGGCAACCCUGAUCCAUCCAUGCCGCGUGUGUGAAGAAGGCCUUCUGGUUGUAAAGCACUUUAUUCAGGGAGGAGAAGCUAAUGGUUACUACCCCUUAGAUUAGACGUUACCUGCUCAAUAAACACCGGCUAACUCUGUGCCAGCAGCCGCGGUAAUACAGAGGGUGCGAGCGUUAAUCGCAAUUACUGGGCGUAAAGCGAGUGUAGGUGGCUCAUUAAGUCACAUGUGAAAUCCCCGGACUUAACCUGGGAACUGCAUGUGAUACUGGUGGUGCUAGAAUAUGUGAGAGGGAAGUAGAAUUCCAGGUGUAGCGGUGAAAUGCGUAGACAUCUGGAAGAAUACCGAUGGCGAAGCAGCUUCCUGGCAUAAUACUGACACUGAGAUUCGAAAGCGUGCGUAGGAACAGGAUUAGAUACCCUGGUAGUCCACGCCGUAUCGAUGUCUACUAGGCCGUUGGG